rnacentral:rRNA from 1 species
AGCUCCAAUAGCGUAUAUUAAAGUUGUUGCAGUUAAAAAGCUCGUAGUUGGACAUGGGGAUUUGUGGUUGGGGUUUGACAUAGUCGGACUCUGAUCACGGUCCAGUUUUGGAGAAUUGUGAUAACCUCACAAGUUUCUCCGCGUUACUGUGAAGAAAUUAGAGUGUUCAAGGCAAGCGAUAGCAUGAAUAGAUCAGCAUGGAAUAACAAGUAUGGACAAAGGUCAGACUUGGGUUUUUUGACAAGAGUAAGGAUUAAUAGGGCCAGUUGGGGGCAUUAGUAUUUCGUAGUCAGAGGUGAAAUUCUUGGAUUUACAAAAGACUAACUAGAGCGAAAGCAUUUGCCAAGGAUGUUUUCA